AUAGUACCUCGGGUUAAGAACUUUGCUUCCGGAUGAGAACAGAAAUUGCGUGGCGGCGCAGCGGGAGACCCCAUUAGCUAAAGUGGUACCUCAGGUUAAGAACAGACCUCCAGAACGAAUUAAGUUCUUAACCCGAGGUACCACUGUAAAGUGCUAUCAGUUUUAUGCCAGUUGCAACUGUUAUGACCACUCCCCGCCCCCCGGCAAAGAAUCCUGAGAUGUAUACAUCAAUGACUUCUUGGGGAGAGAAAAUUAUUAUUAUAAAAGAGCAUUUGGAAAUUUUAACAGAACAGACUUUCCAGCAGUGCAGUCAGGAAUAGUGGACGGAAGAAUGGGUUGGGUGAUCUUUUCAAAAACCUGUCCAGCUUUGCACUUUGGUGUCUUUGUGAAAAAAAAUGUAAAUUGUAUAUGCACUUUCCCUGUUCUCCUUCCCUAGUAGAUCCAGAGAAAGUGUUCAGCGGUGAAUGAAAAUGUCAGCAGCUGAUCUUUAGGCCUAUGUCAUUUCACCUUGAUUUCACUGUUAGGUAACACAGCUAAUUACAGGUCCAAUAACAUAAUUAUAAAUAGCCUUGGCAGCGCAAUCUCCAAUCCCUCCCCCAUGAACUCAUUUGAACCAAUGAUUAAAGUUGACACCCAGACAGGCUGUCUGAGGCCAAGUCACACGGAGAAGUAGCCAAAAUCAUCAUUUCUUCCUGUGCCUCUGCCCUGCAGCAUUCAACAUAAUGAUACUUCAGGAUUUUAUAGCAUCACAGAAAAGAAACCAUUUCCUUCUGUCCCUUUAAUUCCAUUUCCCCCCCAUCUAACAAAAUUUAUAUACCACGUCAUUGUAAUACAGUCAUACCUCGGGUUGAAUGUGCUUCGGGAUGAGCACAUUCGAGUUGCGCUCCGCGGCAACCCGGAAGUAAUGGAGUGCGUUACUUCCGGGUUUCACCGCUUGCGCAUGCGCUCAAAAUGAUGUCAUGUGCAGAAGCGGCGAAAAGUGACGCGCAUGUGCACAGACGUGCCAUCGCUGGUUACGUUUGCUUCUAGAUGCAAACGGGGCUCUGAAACGGAUCCCGUUCGCAUCUAAGGUACCACUGUAAAAGCCUUAAGCAGUUUACAAGAAAUAUAGAAAUGAUCAAUAAAAACAGUUAAAAUGGAGUAAAUUUAAAAACAUUUUAAGAUAAUUAAAAUUAACAGCAGACUAAAGAGAUUAAGUCGGACGCGGGUGGCGCUGUGGGUUAAACCACAGAGCCUAGGACUUGCCGAUCAGAAGGUCGGCGGUUUGAAUCCCCGUGACGGGGUGAGCUCCUGUUGCUCGGUCCCUGCUCCUGCCAACCUAGCAGUUCAAAAGCACGUCAAAGUGCAAGUAGAUAAAUAGGUACCACUCUGGCAGGAAGGUAAAUGGCAUUUCCGUGCGCUGCUCUGGUUCGCCAGAAGCGGCUUAGCUGGCCACAUGACCCAGAAGCUGUACGCUGGCUCCCUCGGCCAAUAAAGCGAGAUGAGUGCCGCAAUCCCAGAGUCGGCCACGACUGGACCUAAUGGUCAGGGGUCCCUUUACCAUUUAAAGAGAUUAAAACAUAUCAACACCUAUGUGUCUGGAUAGGCUUGCCUAAACAAAAAUGUUUUAAGCAAGUGCUGAAAAUAAUACAAUAAAGACACCUGCCUGACGCCAAUAAGCCAAUAAGUUCCAAAGUGUAGAUGCUGCCACACUAAAAGAUUGAUUGCUUUACAAGUGCAGAAUAUCAUGCGACACCUGUAACAACAUCAGGUCUGCAGCUCAAAAGUGAUUGGGCAAUCCUGCAAGACUCUUAGGACUGGGGAGGGCAGACUUCAGGCUUGUUAGAUCUACUUGUUUUUACACUCCACCCCUCUGAACUAUCAAUAGAUUUGUGUUCUUCUGAGCACAUUCUGAACCUAGGAAUUUCUUUUCAGGGCCAGAUCUGAACUGAGCUCACAGUCCUGUCAGCCAAAAGUCUGCUCGUGGUUAGCUCUCUUCCUUUUGGCUGCCUAUUUUAGAUGUGGAAAGUUGUUUUGUCAGAACAGAAGAGUCAGAAUUCCUUGGUGAUCUACUGCAAACCACUCAGAGGUCUGCUAGUAGAUCCCAAUCUUCAGUCUACCCACUGCAGGAGGUGUGCUAACAGACAACAUGGCUUUUCUGGGACCCAAUCCAGGAAACAACACUGAAGCAGAGCUCGCUUUUUGAGCCAUUUUUGCACUUGAAGUACAAAGUCAAAAUAAUCAUCCCACUCCUUUGGACUG